CCUCAUAUCAAAAAGGCGAGCGCUUCGCUGCGCGCCUCUCGCCUCACUGAAGCGAGCCCUCGUCGCUAUUUGUCGCCGCGCGCUAUCAAAAACACUGGAAUAGAUUAUAAAAUUUGAAAGUAAACGUAUAAUAUUACAACAGAGGAUUCAAUUCAAUUAGUUGCCGGUCAAUCUAAAAACAAUCAAAGAUCACAUAUCACGACAUAGCAAACACAAAAAGGUUAUCCUUACAAAUCACAAUUCACCACAGUUGGACAUCAUAAAUAAAAAAACAACUUAGCCUCAUGUGUUUGGGGUACCUGGGAAGCAGAAUAGUUUGCCGACGAAGACAAGAAAGUGAAGGAGAAGAGAGAUACCAGUAACAAUCUUGAAAUCUACAUAAAAAGAGAAGAUGGAGAAAUAACAGAAUUUGAACACCAAACAUGAUAGUUUCGUAAUAAAUUAUAAGAAAUAACAAUCCUAAGAAAAUACUACACGAGCGAAAUAUUUGCUUGGUCAAUUUAAAUGAAGAAGUAAACAACGUAGAUAAUAUAGAAAACUUUAUAUCAUUAUAUUGCUACCGUUUCAUAAGUUUAAUCUACCCCGAGCUUUAAGCAAUUUUCUUAGUAGUCUCAAGGACAAAAUACUUCACUAAUGAAAUACUAACUAAAUCAUCUUCUCAAAAUUGAAAUUGGAUUAAGAAAUUACCUUUAAAUACUAAUUAAAGAAUUUAGACAUAUCACUUAAAAAUUAUACCGAGCACUUCUCAAAAAUCGAAUUACAUCAACUUUUUUAUUUGAACUGAAAAAGAAGGAAUACUAAAGAAGAUUUGUAAAUAGUACUGAUUAUAACGAAAUUACUAAUUUUAAUGAAUUUUCCAACCAAUUGCAAUCCUACAAGCUUAAAAUAUGUUGAUCAACUGUAUGAUUAUAAAUCUCAUUAACUAUAAUAUUUUACUAGUACAAAAAUAAGUACUAAAAGAAAGAUAUGUCAGAGCUAACAGGAUAGACUUUUUUAAAUCACAACACACAAACUUUAUUUUUUUCAAUUUUAGAUUUUCUAAAAAGUCAACUAGAUUUUUCACAUUCAACCUCUUUCUUCUUAUACAACCAAACAAAUUUCGACAAUAAAUAUUAUUCUAAAAUA
rnacentral:lncRNA from 1 species